UUUUUUUUUUUUUUUUAAUGGCCACACCCACAGCAUAUGGAAGUUUCCAGACCAGGGGUCAAAUCAGAGCUACAGCUGCUGGCCUACGCCAUGGCAACCCCAGAUCCCAGCUGCAUCUGAGACCUACAUGCAACUUGCAGCCAUGCUGGAUCCUUAACUCCCUGAUUGAGGCAGGGAUCAAACACUCGUAGACACCCAGAGGACUCGUUGGGUCCUCUGACCACAACAGAAACUCUUUUUUUUUUUUUUUUAAUUCAGAAAGAUAUACCUUUUUCAGAAGCCCCAGCCAACUUUCCCUUAUCUCCCACUGGCCAGAACUAGAUCACUUACCCUUCUCCCCCUUAUCCCUGCCUCAGACCAAUUAUUGGCAAAAAACCAAUAAUGACUCAUCCCUGGGGCAGGGGGCGGAGUCUACCUUUCUUGAAAUCAUCAAAUUGGGAUGGGCCAUUGGAAAAGCAGCUUUGACUAUCACAGGAACUCUGCUCCAGCCAAGCACCCCGCUAGAUACUUGACAGACUUUUUCCACUUAAUUCUCACAACAGUUAUCUGAGGUAGGUAUUCGUAUGCCCACUUUAUAAAUGAGGAAAUUGAGACUUGAGAUGUUAAGUAUAUUGCCUACUCUGCUUGGAAAAAAUUAGAAUUGAACUACAUCUAUUAACUCCACGGUCUAAAUAAGAUCUUUACAUUGACAUCCUGCUGUCUCUUGGUUCACCUGUAGAAAAAUCAUUGCUGUCAUAACAACCCUUAAUUAUGGACAAAAAUAAUUUAUACACUGCUUAACAUGGAAGCAAUGUGUAUUUCAUGAGAUUUUAGACAAAAAAUUUAAACUCUAUAACUUAGAAAAUUAUAUCACCAAGAAUAUAUUAUCACACACUUUAAUGUUAUCCUAAUUUCAUCACAUACUUUAUUUUAUUAGAGUAAAUAAGAUGUGGCAGAGUGAUAAGGAUACUCCUAAAGUCUACCUUGGUGAACUUCCUAAGUUUCAUACACUCAUAUUUGCAGGUAAGUGUAACUUGUAUUUACUCCACUUUACAAUUGUGUGUGUGGCGGGAGGGGAGGGUUUCUGCUGGGCCUUGAAGGGGAGUUGGGCAGAAAGCUGGAAGAGAGAGACAGAAAAUGGCUUAGCAUCUUUAAGGGACAAGGGGUCCCAAUUUAGCAUGACUGGAAUUGAAGGGGUUGUGGAAAGGGGCUAUGCAUUCUACUUUAUUCACUUCUAUAUUGUUUGAACUUCAUACUGCUUUCACGAUUUGAAUCUGUUUUAGUAAAGAUAGUUUCAUUCUGAAAAGAUAGAAGAGUAAGGGUAGAAGCCACGCAGUAGAGGAUUCUGGGGAAAAGUAAAUGAGUGGAGUUGGAAAGUUGAGGCAGUUCUCUUCAAGAGUUUGAAAGCAAAUGGAGGAAGGAAAGUUCAAUGUUACCAAAAGGGUCAGCAGGACUAUUCUUUCAAAAUAUUUCAUAUGGAAAUAAAAUAUACGCCUGUGAAUACAUUGUCAAAGCUGGAGAAAC
rnacentral:lncRNA from 1 species